GAUGAACGCUAGCGGCAGGCUUAAUACAUGCAAGUCGUGGGGCAGCAGGUCUGUAGCAAUACAGAUGCUGGCGACCGGCAAACGGGUGCGUAACACGUACGCAACCUUCCCGUUACUGGGGAAUAGCCCAGGGAAACUUGGAUUAAUACCCCAUAUUAUAUUGACUGGGCAUCUGGUUAAUAUCAAAGCUUCGGCGGUAACGGAUGGGCGUGCGGCUGAUUAGGUAGUUGGCGGGGUAACGGCCCACCAAGCCUACGAUCAGUAGCUGAUGUGAGAGCAUGAUCAGCCACACGGGCACUGAGACACGGGCCCGACUCCUACGGGAGGCAGCAGUAAGGAAUAUUGGUCAAUGGACGAAAGUCUGAACCAGCCAUGCCACGUGGAGGAUGAAGGUCCUCUGGAUUGUAAACUUCUUUUCUCCUGGGGCGAAAAAGGCCUUUUCCUAGGGCACCUGACAGUACCAGAGG
rnacentral:rRNA from 1 species